AGUGGAUGGGGAGCAACCUAGUUGUGCGUGUGUAAAGGUAGUGCCAAGAAAAGCGAUGAUCAUGUUGAAAAUCAAUUCCCGGUACCCGAAACCGACACAGGUGGGCAAGUAGAGAAUACUAAGGGGCGCGAGGUAACUCUCUCCAAGGAACUCGGCAAAAUGACCCCGUAACUUAGGGAGAAGGGGUGCCACCGAGAGGUGGUCGCAGUGAAGAGGCCCAGGCGACUGUUUAGCAAAAACAUAGGUCUCUGCAAACUCGAAAGAGGAGGUAUAGGGGCUGACGCCUGCCCAGUGCCGGAAGGUUAAAGAAGUUGGUCAGUCUUAGGAUGAAGCUAGCGACUGAAGCCCCGGUGAACGGCGGCCGUAACUAUAACGGUCCUAAGGUAGCGAAAUUCCUUGUCGGGUAAGUUCCGACCCGCACGAAAGGCGUAACGAUCUGGGCGCUGUCUCGGAGAGAGGCUCGGCGAAAUAGGAUUGUCCGUGAAGAUACGGACUACCUGCAUUUGGACAGAAAGACCCUAUGAAGCUUUACUAUAGCUUGGAAUUGUGUUCGGGCUUCCUGUGCGCAGGAUAGGUGGGAGGCGUAGAAGGUAUUCUUGUGGGGAUACUGGAGCCAACGGUGAGAGACCACUCUCAGGAGGCUAGAAUUCUAACUUAAUUAAGGACAGUUUCAGGUGGGUAGUUUGACUGGGGCGGUCGCCUCCAAAAAGGUAACGGAGGCGUACAAAGGUUCCCUCAGACUGGUUGGAAAUCAGUCGAAGAGUGCAAAGGCAGAAGGGAGCUUGACUGCGAGAAGUACAGUUCGAGCAGGGUGGAAACACGGUCUUAGUGAUCCGACGGUGCUGUGUGGAAGGGCCGUCGUUCAACGGAUAAAAGUUACUCUAGGAUAACAGGCUGAUCUCCCCCAAGAGUUCACAUCGACGGGGAGGUUUGGCACCUCGAUGUCGGCUCAUCGCAACCUGGGGCGGAAGUACGUCCCAAGGGUUGGGCUGUUCGCCCAUUAAAGCGGUACGUGAGCUGGGUUCAGAACGUCGUGAGACAGUUCGGUCCAUAUCCGAUGUAGGCGUGAGAAUAUUGAGAGGAGCCUUCCUUAGUACGAGAGGACCGGGAAGGACGCACCGCUGGUGUACCUGUUAUGAUGCCAAUUGUAAACGCAGGGUAGCCAAGUGCGGAGAGGAUAACCGCUGAAAGCAUCUAAGUGGGAAGCCCACCUCAAGAUGAGUAUUCUGGUGUAAGGUCACGGGAAGACGACCCGUAAAUAGGCACGAGGUGGAAGUGCAGAGAUGUAUGAAGCCGAAGUGUACUAAUAGACCGUCGGCUUGAC
rnacentral:rRNA from 1 species